rnacentral:tRNA from 1 species
GCAGCUCAUUUGAUAGAGCACUUGCCUGGCAUGCAAGAGGCUCUGGGUUCGAUCCCAAGCA